ensembl:lncRNA novel transcript, antisense to CHST6
AGUGCAGUGGCAUUAUCUCGGCUCACUGCACUGUCCGCCUCCUGGAUUCAAGGGAUUCUCCUGCCUCAGCCUCCUGAGUAGCUGGAAUUACAGGUGUGCACCACCACACCCGGCUAAUUUUUUUUAUUUUUAGUAGAGAUGGGGUUUCACCAUGUUGGCCAGGCUGGUCUCAAACUCCUGACCUCAAGUGAUCCACCUGCCUCAGCCUUCCAAAAUGCUGGGAUUACAGGCAUGAGCCACCACGCCUGGCUUGUGGUUGAAAUCUUAACCCACAAUAUGAUGGUGUUGGGAUGUGGAGCCUUUGGGAGGUGAUUAGAUAAUGAAGGUGGAGACCUCAAGAAUGGGAUUAGUGACAUUCUUUAAAAGGCCCUGGAGACUGGGUACAGUGGCUCAUGCCUGUAAUCUCAGCACUUUGGGAGGCUGAGGCUGGGGGUGUCCUGGGGCUACCACAGGGAAGGACCCGGCGCAGAGCUCCCUCUGGAACCCGGCACUGCGGCCCGCGCCCUCUACUCCCCGCGCGCCGGCCGGCAACCCUCGGCGCUGCCCGGUGCAGCCCGCCCGAGCGCACACAAU